UUACUACUUUGAAUCAAUCACUCCUGUUCUCCCCUCUCAACCGUCUUUUCUCCUCCGCCGAAACCUUCGCCGCUACUCCGCCCCAUCGCCUCCACCAACCCUCUCUCACUCUAAUUUUUUCUUCCUCUCUCUCUCUCUCUCUCACUCGCUCUCACUCUAGAACUCACACGGUACACAGACGAUGCAGAGGCAACUGCUGAAGAAGCUCAGACUGAAACCUCCCAAUGGACUCACCCAAUUCAACCAACGAAGAGAGAUGCACAGCAGGAACAAGAAGGCGAUGGAGUUGAUAGCCAAAGGCUGGAGUGCCCUUAAGGAAGUCGACCGAGUCAUCGAUUACUGCGAGCUCAACGAUCGCCGCCUCAUCCCUCUCUUACGGGCAGCAAAGGAGAAUUUUGAGUUGGCUUUGGAGGCUGACAAUUCGAAUACCCAUGCCAUGUAUUGGUUGUCCAAAUUGCAUUUGAAAUACCAUGUCCCGGGAGCCUGCAAAGCUAUAGGAGCUGCCUUGUUAGUUGAAGCAGCGGAUAUGGGUGAUCCGGAUGCACAGUACGAACUCGGUUGUCAUCUUAGAGUUGAUAAUGAAUACGUCCAGUCAGAUCAGCAAGCUUUCCAUUAUAUAGAGAAGGCUGUUGACCAGUUGCAUCCAGGUGCUCUUUACCUUCUGGGUUCUGUGUAUCUGACGGGAGACUGCGUGAAAAAAGAUAUGGCUUCUGCGUUAUGGUGUUUCUAUAGGGCAUCAGAUAAGGGACAUGCUGCUGCAGCUAUAGCAUUUGGAUCUCUUCUUCUUAGAGGUGCUGAAAUCCCAGAAUCUGUGACGAAGUUUGCUUCAAAGAGGGGUCCUUUGGCCAGAAAGGAAAGCAUAACAGAUCCCAUAGAGAUGGCAAGAGAACGAUUCCAGAUUGCUGCGAAAGCCGGGUGUGAUCUAGGACUGAGAUGGUUGGAAAGACUCGAGGAGGAAGAGAAGCAUCUAUUGACUGGAUCUGAAAUGGCCGAACAAACUUAAUGAGGGAAAUGUCUAGUAAUCGGACAUUCUACUGACGGGAUAGAACUCUUCCAAGAUUUCUCGAGACGGAAUUGAUAUGCGUCCAUAUCAAAGUAUGCCACGCCACAAUCCGAUCCUCGGGAUUAAGUUCGAACUAUCAUGCAAGCGGGUGGAACACUGCUCUGGCUAUCUAGCUUAUUCACAUUAUGAGUCAAUCACAGGUAUUGACCUCGUCGUUCAUGGAGUCACCAUCCGUGGAUAGGAAUACAAACUACAGUGCUCGUGACAUCGAUGAACUUGAGUACACAAAAGCGAGCAUCAAACUUUUUGCAACGGAAUACACAAUUCGGUGGUAUUUCAUACAACUGAUGGAAUGAUAUAUGUAUGACUCAUUUGAAAGUGUUUUUAAUAUGACUAAAAGCGCUUUUAGAAAAUGUUUUUGGAUUUCAAAAGCGUUUGCUUCUUCCAUGAUGUACUUUUAAGUGUUUUUUCAAGAUUUACUUGCACUUUUACUAA